rnacentral:rRNA from 1 species
AUUGAACGCUGGCGGCAGGCCUAACACAUGCAAGUCGAACGAGUGGCGGACGGGAGAGUAAUGUCUGGGAAACUGACCGAUGGAGGGGGAUAACUACUGGAAACGGUAGCUAAUACCGCAUACCAUCGGAUGUGCCCAGAUGGGAUUAGCUAGUAGGUGGGGUAAUGGCUCCCCUGGGCGAAGAGCCCUAGCUGGUCUGAGAGGAUGACCAGCCACACUGGAACUGAGACACGGUCCAGCCUCCUACGGGAGGCAGCAGUGGGGAAUAUUGCACAAUGGGCGCAAGCCUGAUGCAGCCAUGCCGCGUGUAUUAAGAAGGCCUUCGGGUUUUAAAGUACUUUCAGCGGGGAGGCGUUACUCGCAGAAGAAGCACCGGCUAACUACGUGCCAGCAGCCGCGGUAAUAC